rnacentral:rRNA from 1 species
ACGGAAGGCAGCAGUGGGGAAUAUUGCACAAUGGGCGAAAGCCCGAUGCAGCGACGCCGCGUGAGCGAAGAAGUAUUUCGGUAUGUAAAGCUCUAUCAGCAGGGAAGAUAAUGACGGUACCUGACUAAGAAGCACCGGCUAAAUACGUGCCAGCAGCCGCGGUAAUACGUAUGGUGCAAGCGUUAUCCGGAUUUACUGGGUGUAAAGGGAGCGUAGGCGGUUUUACAAGUCUGAUGUGAAAGCCCGGGGCUCAACUCCGGUAUUGCAUUGGAAACUGUAGAACUAGAGUGUCGGAGGGGUAAGUGGAAUUCCUAGUGUAGCGGUGAAAUGCGUAGAUAUUAGGAGGAACACCAGUGGCGAAGGCGGCUUACUGGACGAUUACUGACGCUGAGGCUCGAAAGCGUGGGGAGCAAACAGGAUUAGAUACCCUGGUA